rnacentral:misc_RNA from 1 species
GUGCUUGACUGUGUACGCUGCAGCUCCAGCCGCCGACCUUGCAUGUCUUUGCAUGCCCAUUUCUGUACAACACUGAGCUGUUUUCUUUUUCUUUCUCCUUUGUAUCUUUCUUCUAGCCUCCCUCUCUCCUUCUCAAAUCUCGUUUCUUAUUUCCAUUUUCUUCGCUGUUUGCUUUGUUGUUUGGUGCUUCCUCGCGGGUAAGGGGCUUCAUCUUUCCUUUUGCAUACGGCUCACACUGUCGUAGACGUGCGCGUCUCUUUCUCCUUCCUGGUCUCGCCCCUUCCGCCGCGUAUCCCACACUAUCCGUCAAAAAACAACAAAAAACCAAAGAUAUCACGUAUUUAGGGCGUGUUUGUGUGUGAGAAGCAACUAUAAGGUGGUCGCGGGUCUUCUCUCAAGCCGACACGCUUGUGUUGUCGUGUGUGGCUAACAAGGGAGGCAAGUGACUGUGCGUGCUCUCGUGGACGGGAAGGGAUUGCUUCUCUUCCCCUACACGAGUGUUACGCGUAGGCGACGGGAAACGCUCCUCUUUGUGUUGCGCUCCCGCACCAUAUCGGGGACUUUUCCUUUGUGCUGUCUUCAUCUGUGAGGGAGGGGAGGGAGGGGGGCGCAACCCUGUUUUUCUGUGCGUGCGCUUGGCUGCCGGUUGUUUGGGAAAUCUUCGCGCUCACCUCUCGUUCUUUCUUUCCCUCUUUCCAGUCACUUUCCGUACCUCACACAGCUUGUGUGUGUGCGCGGGUGUGUGUGUCUCUUUUCUUCUUCCUCCAUCUCCGUCAAGGCCUCCAUCCCUCUCCCUCUCCCCGACUUUCCUUUUUGGCUCCCUCUGAUCUGUUGUUGUGCGUUUUCUUCCGCUCCGUCGUUGUGACGGGGCCGUUCCGCUUGGCUGACUCGUUUCUUUUAUUUUGUUCAGCCCUUUCGUUCUCACGCGUGUGCUCAUAGCUCCUGAUCCCUUUUUCUUUCUGUUUCUUACGUUCCCCUCUCUCCAUUUGGAAAGUGUGUUGGCGCUUGAGGGCGUCAGCAACAUUCUUCUCCUGCAAUCUAGGAACAGCAGCCACAGACGCACUCAGCAACACACACACACACACACACACACACACACACAACACCGCACUAUAGAAGUGCUAGAGAAGGUGAUACAAGUGAUCAAGCGGAAUAACAAAAAAAAAGGCACCACGUCCAGACCUACCUAUACACCCCCUAGCACACCCAGAGAGCAUACGCCACCCUCUCUCUUUCUCUCCAACGUUCUUAGAGACACGAGUGAUUUCUCUGCCAGCAGACACUCCAUCUGUAGCCAUCCACGCACGCGCACACACAGAGACACAUAUAAACACACAGCAUCGUUGACCCCUGCUGACGCUCUUCACGUUUUUUUAUUUUUAUCAGAGCGUGUGCGUGCUUGCGUCUCUCUUUAUCUCUCUCUCACUGUGUGUGUGUGUGCUCAAAGUAGGUGCUACUCUAUAUUUUCUUCUCCCUUUCUGUGUAUUUGUGUGCGUUUCUCUGCGCGUUCUCGUGUCCUGGGCAGUGCGCUGCCCUGAGGCCUUCGCAUCAUUCUCUUCUGUGUCGUUCAAGUCCUUUGCCACAGCGCGCUUUUCAAGGGUACAUCGAAGUGAUAACCGCUCGGCACCACAGCUACCGCGUCCGAGAAGCAAGAAGUCAGGGCUGUUCUCUUGCGCGGUAAGUCUCUCUCGCUCUCUCUCUCUGACUCUCUCGCGUCUCGGAUACAGCGCUCAUUUUAUUGCUGUCCUUUGUUUUGCUCUGUUCCGUUCACCAACCCUUGAAAGGCGUCUUUUCCCCUAUCAGCUUUCGCUGCGCAACCCGAUUUAACGUCACCUCUACUGGCUUCCCUUCUUGCGGUCAGGGCGCACACAGCAACACGGCAACGCACGUGAGAGACGAACGCGAGUGACUUUGCCAUUGCCCCUACUCCACCUCAUUGCCAGUCACAAAACGCACAUCAUGGACAGCUCAAGCGCUUGCGCGCCGUCACGUGCGUGGCAGAGUAACGAAGAGGUAGCCCAACGCCCCAUCUGCACUUUCUUUGCCAUGGGUGGCUGCUGCAAGGGAGCGCGGUGCCCAUUCUCGCAUGAGCUGGUGCAGCUGCCGCCGAAAGGUGUCGAUGCCUCAGGUGGCUACUUUAUUAGCGGUAACGUUGCAAACUACAAGGCAGCCGCGUCCACGACGGCGGCGAAGCCGCCGUCACGCAGCUUGGUCGGUCGGUGGGAUGAUCCGACCGCAUCGAGCAGCACCGACGGCUUGUCGACCCUUGCGUCGCCUUCCUCGUGUUGCGUGACGACAGGUACGUCUCUCAGCGCCGAAGCGAAGGAGUGGGUCGGAGCUGACAGCGCAGCCGCCUCCUCAUCUGCCAACUCGGCCACCGCCUCCAUCACGUCCGUUCAAUCGCUGCGAGGUGCGGCCUCCCCGACUGUUUGCGUGAGCUCCAGCUCUCUUCGCUACAGGUCUGCGACCUUGCGCCGCACUGCCCAGCAGGUGUCACCACUGCCCGUGCCGCAUUCUCAGCGGGACUCUCAGCCUCAGCCCCAGCAAGCCCAAAUGCAGCUACAAUCACAGCACUCGCAGAAGCCGCAGCCGUCGCCGCCGCAGCCACAGCUACAUCAGCAACACAAGCGUCAGUAUCAACAGCCGCCUCAGCCACGCAGCGUCGCAAACGCUCUCUCCGCUCUACUCCCCAACCACUCGGAGGGCAGUGGCGCUGCAGAGACACGCCGCACAUCCGCGGCACCUACGCACCCCGCUGCCACAGCGCGCACCGUGUCCUUCACGCAGUCCUCUAACGGCUCUGGAUCGACGACUAUAGCUGCCCUCGCCUCCUUUUUCGACAUGCAGCGCGUUUCCACGGGCGCCCCUUCGGUGACGUCGUCCAGCGUCGUAUCGCAGCCAAGCAAAGUCAUCUUUUCCACUCGCCGCGACGAUCAGCCGCCAGCCACCGCACCAUCGCCCGCCACCGCGGCACUACCUCGGUACACCGCCGCUUGCGUCACCGUCGCCGCCUCCAACCAGCGUUUUGAUCCGUUGCCCUCCGUGCCCAGCGUUCCGACCACGGCCACCCCCGCCCCUGCUCACGGCAGCAGCCGCUCGGCCACACCGAGCCAGAAUGUGGAGGCUCCCCUGCCUCGCAGUCGCGAGGCCCUGGCUACCGGUGCGGAGCGCCACGCUGCUACCGAGGCAAAGGCGCACGUGGCGCAGAGUGCUGCUCCACCUUCGACGGCGGCAGCGCCGACAUCGCCGCCACAGUAUGAGUCGCGGACUGCGUCCUCCGCUCAAACUCGCGUCAUGCCGCCGGCUCCUCGUUCUCAACAGCAGCAGGCAGCGCAUCAGGCCCAGCAACUUCGUGCACAAGAAGCGCAGCACCAGGCGCAGCUCCAGCAGCAGCUCCACCCCCAACAACAGACACAGCAACUUGCACAGCAGCAGGCUCAACUGCAACCAUUUCAGCAGCAGAUUCAGCCCCAGAAGCCGCCGCCGCAGCAGCAGACGGUGUACAUGUUGACUACCUCCCGUCCACCGGCUACCUCUACACCUCCGCACGAAGGUAUCGCUGCGCCUGCCCAGCUCCCACUCGGCUACACCCUUGCCUACGCUGUGCCCGCGCCUACACCAACCGCUCCCGCGGCCACCCCAAUCCUUAUCUCGGAGCAGCCGAGCGCCGCUCGACCCACCUACACGUUGCUUUCCUCGUGCCCGCCGCAAUCGCAGCUACAGAGCUUUCAGACGGCAAAGGGAACAGUACUGUACGCGACGCCGGCGCAGGUGCUUACCCAGGCCGCGGCGCCAAGCGAAAGCGAUGCCCCUCGUCUGAUCCUUGUCAAUACAGAUGGCACUUUCUCCGUCCUGAAAGCAGAAACGUUGGCGGCCACUGCCGGCCCUGGCCUGUCGCCGGCCAUCACGCAGGCGCACUAGUUGAUCAAGCGAGAUUUCGAGCGCACGUCUAGUUCACCAGCGGAGGCGUCUAUUGGCAAACGCCAAGGACAGAAGGGGAUAGGGCGUAUCUCUCUUAAGUUAAUUGUUUUGCUAGCCGCUCUUACUUCUCUCUUGGUGCCUCUACCGAUAUGGCACCAUUGCAGCGUCUCCCCUUCUUGGUCGUGCUCGGUGAUGCCCUCCCCUUUUCCUCCUCCCCGACUUCUCCUGAUUGGCGUCUUGCCGUGUUUGAUUGUGUGCCACCUUGCUGCUACUGCCUCUGCACAUUCAUGUGUGUCUUUUAUUUGUUUACACGUUUUUUUAUUUUGGCUUCCUUUCCAGCUCUUUCUUUUUCUGUCGUCGUGCUCUCCGUGCCGCUCCGCACUUGAGCGUGCGUAUCGUUGAUUGGCGAAUUCUUCGUUUCUGCGUGUGCGUGUCUUUGGCUCUCUGAUUUCUCUCUCGAUUGCGGUUACAACUCUCGCGCGAUUGGAUGUGCGCUUGUGCGUGCGUUUGUGUGUGCACGCAUCGGUAUGCGGGUGUUUUUCUUUUUCAUCUGCUACACACACACACUCAUCUCUUCUCUGUUCCUCUCCGCUUCCCAUCUCUAAACGUGGACUCUUCCUUCUGCAUGCUUUCUUGCUCACGGUUCUGUGUCUCCUUUUUUUGUGUGUUUUCGUAUCAUCGGCGUCUCUUUCUGUCUGCGCAUGCGUGUAUGUGUGUGUCUUUGUGGAGCGUAUGGAUGCAUGAAAAACAAAAAAAGUCUCUAUUUCCUUUUGUUGUUGCGUAACAGACGUGCGUGCCGCUGUGUAUAUAAGCCGUCUUGGGCGUGUGCACCCGCACGUGCGUGUGUUAGUCUUGUUGUCUUCCUUCUUUCCCAUUUCUUGCCCUCUCGCUCUAAUUGCGCAUUUUUUUCUUGGCGAUUGGGGGCAGUGCGCACCAUCUUUUCUCGCUUUUUUUUCGUGUGGCGUUGUUUCUGGGUUUAGCGACGUUUUUUUUUUGACGUAUCUAUUACUGUGUUGCUGUAUCCGCGGCAGUCGACUGGCGUAGUUCCCCUUCUCUCUCGUUACCUUCCCAUUUCAUUUGUUGCUUUCCUCUCUCUCUGCCUGUUUGCGAGAGUGCACAGUCGAGUUUUCGCUUCUGUUUUUUUUUGCCUCAUUUCGAUUUCGUGAUGCGUAUUUUGCGUCUAGAGCAUUGCGCUCGCGGUUAGGUGUGUGUGCGUGGUGAAGGCGGUGAUGGCGCUCCGUUUUUCCCAUGUUGAUUCGCAUGUUCACAUCGUGGGGGUUUUCCCCCUCCCUCUCUUCGUCUGGGUUUCUACUUCGAGUGCGCACACCUCUCUAUCUUUUCUCCCUUUUUCCCUCUCUCUCUGUGUGUGGCAUUGCGUCUCUGUUUUGCUUCAUUCCUCGCAUGUGCUUGCCGCUGUGCUUCGUGCCGAUGUAUAUAUAUAUAUGAUGCCUGCCUUCUCUCUCGGUGGGUAUGCUUUUCUCUUGCCAGCGUGUUAUGGCGCUUCUUGUGUGCUUUCCUUCGUGCUUUACUGUACAAGCGUAAGUUCUGUCUCUGCCUCUCUCUCGUUCUUCUUUUUCUUUUCGAAGCUUAUUACUCGCCUUCCACAUGUUUCCCUGUCUUUUAUGUAGGUGGCCGGCUCAUAACUACCUGUUUGUGUGCAUGCGUGUAUGUGUGUGCGUGUGUGCGUGUGUAUAAUGUUAUUGCUGUUCGGGAUGCUGGGUGGAGAAGGCACUGAAGUAGGCACUAGCCCCGCACGUGAUCUCCAUCCCUUCACACCCCCUCCUCGCUUCUUGCAUGAGCUUGCUACCACCCUCCCACAAACAUACACCGACGCUAAAGCGAAUUGGAAACGAAAGUGCCAAGUGAACGGCGUUGCUUACGGGCGCUGAUGUGUGUGAGCGCGCGUGCGCUUCAACGGGUACUGGCUCUUCCCUUUCCGGCUGAAGGGCACGCUGGCGUGCGGGUAUGUGUGUGGGUGGUGUAGGACGUGGGGCGCGCGUGUGAAGGGCAAAGGAGGUGGCGUAUGAUGUGCGUCUCGGGCCUUUUUUUCUGGUGUGGGGCUAUGCUGUUGUGGGUAUCUUUCUAGGCUUCGGCUUCUUCCUCCACUGCUUUCUCUCUUUCCUGGUCACAUCCUUACCCCCCCCCCCCCAAUCGCCCAUCUUUUCCCUCUUCUCAUUCGACGGCGCUGCUCCGAGGGGCACGCCGGAGCACGACAGGAAGCGCGUGUAGGCGGUAGGUAAAAUAGGUCACUCAACAUCUCUGCUACAACUUCUUUCAUUGCCGCUUCUGUCCACAAACGCGUAAUCGUUCGGCGCCUCUUCUUCCCUACUUGUUGACAUUCUCUUUUUCCACAUGUUCAUGUGCACUCGCGUGUGCAUGUAUCCCUUCCGUUAUCCCCCUGCGUCAUCUCUCUCGGCGUUCUUCCCUCCUCCCCAAUAUUCCACACCUUUUUUUUUGGUGCUGUUGCGUUGUCCGGGUGCGUCUCUCGUGCUUUGCGUACGACAUUCUAUACGCCAUCAUGCGUUUUUCUUAUAUAUAUAUGUGUGUGUGUGUGCGUGUGUGUGCGUGUUGCCUUUCAUAUGCGGCUGCUUCGGCGUCGUUGCGGGACUUCCCCCCCUUUUUCACCCUCCUUUUCUUUACUGCAAAACAAACUUUUCUGACGUUCGUUUUGCUUGCGUCUCUUUGUGCCUUUAUCUUUUUCGUCCAGCUGCAUACUCGCGUCGAUCGGAGGGUCGUGCGGCUUUGUGUGUGAUGGCGCAUCAUCUCGCUCUCUCUCUCUCGCUCUUGAGUUGCUUGCCAUUGUUCGCUGCUCGCGUUGCCGCUAUGCCUUUUAGUUCUCAUUUUUUGAUGAGGUGUAAAUCUGUGCGCGUGCUCACUGGCCGUGCCUACUUCCUGAUCGUCUGUGCUCUGCGUCCUUCUUGUUCUCUCGUUUCUCGUAGCGUGCUCUCGUCUGGCUACGGGAUGGGGCGUUGUGUGAGACAGCCAUGGACAGAACAAGGAAAAGGGGGUGGGAAAAGGACACAAAUCGAUGAUCAACAGGGACUACCUUGCACCGGCAGCUCCGUCACACCAGCGCAUUUAUGCUGCCUCAUGUGCUUUCUUGUUGUGCGCAUGUCCGCGUUUGGUCCACCCUCGUGCUUGAAGCAUCGCUCAUUGAGGUUUCGUGAGUGUUGCUGUCUCCCCCCUCUCAUCCUCCUUCCUCCCCUCUCCAUCUCUCUCUGUUUAUCUGUGCAUACUGUUUGCUUGCCUCAUUACGACGGAGCUGUACGUAUGUUUAUGAGUGUUGCGAUUGAGGUGAGGGCCGCCUUUUUUUUGGUCUGUUUCGUGUCGUCGUUCUUGGCAUGCGUUCCUCCUCUGGUGCCUUAAUUGCGUUUCACAUUAGCCAGCUGAUGGUGCGUCUUCCCUACGCUGCCGCAUUCUUUUUUUUUGUUGUGUUUUUAUGACUCUGUCUUCACCGAUCACCACCCACUCACAUCGCCCAAGGCCCCUCUGCUGCCUUGUAUUCGGAGCCUGUUUUGCGUGCGCCUGCGCUCGUGACUGACUUGUUGUAUGCAUCUGUGUAUCUUUGCCCUGUUCACCCAUUCAUUGUUUCUACAGCAAUCACAUUACCAGCGUACGGCGUUGAUGUAUCUACAUGGUGGAUAGCUGUGCUUGUCUUUCUACUGGUGCUUUUCUUCUGUGCUCUGUUUCUUCGAACGGCCCGUGUUCGUGGCCUUUACCCUUUUUUCUUCCAUGCUUCCUUCUCUAUGGGAGAACAAGCGGGAGGGGCGGAGGGAGGCGGCAGCAGAGGAGAAAGGGCCGUGCUUGUUGCAUGUGCCGGCGCCCGCGCGAUAGAAAGUGGCAUGUGUGCGGGCGAUGCUAAAAUGCUUAAUUGGGUGCGAUUGGGGUGUUCGUCAUUCUCAGGCUUUUCAGCCGCCUCCAAACCAACGCAAACGCCAGACAGUGCCGUGCAAGAAGGCUUUUAGAGAAGAAAAAAACGAAAAGAGAACCACAGCCGCUUUUACCUGUAUCUUCCUCUUUGUCCAAGAACGUUUUGCUGACUUCGCUCUCCACUGCCCUGAUGAUACCGUUUACUUCACCAUGGUAUCAGGGUGUGGAACCCAGGCUCUGUGUGGGGAGGCCAAGAGCCUGCAGCCCGGCCGCCGGGCACGGCUGCGGCCUCUUGGCGUCGGCGGUCAGCGCUUGGCUGGCGCGGUGCCGAGGAGACGUGCGGCCAUGAUCGCGCUUGGACCAGCUCACGACGAGUCGCACCGACGGCUCACCACAUAUGCGCGCAGGCGCCCACCGCUUUUCUGCCUUUGCUGCCUUUGCUGCGUUGCGGUGGUGUGGAGCGUGAUCGCGGCAACGGCCCGCUCUGCAUGCACCGGAAUCGCAGUGGGCUGGACGACGCCACACGGCGUUGGUUGUCCCGUCUCCUCGACGAGUCCUCGCUGCAAGUGUGUACGCUGCAGGAGACUCACUUCUCCCCUGCAGGCCUGGAAGGCGCUUGGUCUGCACGGCGUUCAGUCUUUCGGUGCAGCAAGAGAGAGGGAGGGAGCGCGAGUGAUGAGCGAGAGAGGAGCCCCGUAGUACAUGCCGAUUAUGCCCACAGCGCAUGCGCGCGCAGCAUGCGGCAUCUCCUCCAUCCCACCGUGCGGGCGGAUGAGGCGCCGGCCGCGCGGCACGUAUCCGAAGAGGGGACGAGGCGGGAGAGGAGGGGCCCGCUAGACGCAUGUCCCGAUUCGACGGCAUGACGGUUGCUCCUAGACGGCCAGGACGUCGCCGCAGCGCGGCAGUGGGUGCGUGGGCUGCAACUGUGCAUGCGUGUGCCUUUGCUGGCCAUCGGCGGUGGAGUGAUUCGUUGAGAGGAAAGGAGGCAUCCUCUUGCGGCUGUAUUCCUCGGCUCACGUGAGCACUCUUUUUGGUUUUCUUCGUACGCACUGCCGUCAGAGUGGUCCGCUGGUGUGGGAUUUAGCGUGCGUGUAUUUAUGUGCAUUUUUUUUUAUGAGACUGUAUAAGACGUCGUUCUUUUUUUUUUCGUGUUUUCUUUGUGUGUUUCUUAUUUUUUUUUCCGGUUUUACUUUGUCAUCUCAUCGUUUCUUGUGCCCCUUGGGUUGUGUCUUGUGCGAGUUGUGUUGCGCAUAAUAUAGAUUUAUAUAUCUUUUUGGUUGUCGUUGUUCGUCCUGUAAAGACGCUCGGACGUGUUCGUUGGCGUCCGAGUAGGGGGUUGCUGUUGUAGCGUACAGCCUCUGAGUGCUGAAGGGGUAUCUGAAAGUGGCUCUUCUGGGGUUUUCUUUUUUUUUCAACUCGUGCCUUCACUCUCAACGUUCCUGCAUGUGCGCGCCUUUGCGGGGUGGGUGACAUCUCCUCACAGCUCUCGGACUGUUGUCCGUCGUCAGCGGAACUUUGUAUGUAUCAUUCGAGUCCGGCGUCGUUGUCUCGUGGGUGCUGUCUGAGAUGCGUUGUUUUCUUCUUGAAGGCGUGCGAUAAGGGCGGAAGCGGGGGAGGGAUGGCCGAUAAAUGGUGUGACGACGACGAGCCGAAACACUCUGCACCGUUCCCGUGGCGUGCUUCACCCGCCAUGCGGCCUCUCUUUGCCCCCAUUUCGCUCUUCACGGUUCAGAUCUCGAGGAGUCGAGUCAUUGCAAGCCUUUGGCUCUUGCCUCGCUCCGCCCCUAGCCUACCCACCGCGACAGGGGCCCGUGCGCGACGGACGGAGGGUAUACGUCUGUCUGUCGUUUCGUGCGUAGUGUUACCCGGUGAGGACUUGAAAACAGCCGAAUUCUCAUGGGUCGCUUUGCCGGCGCUUGCGGUAUGGAGAGCGCGAGUGGAGGGAUACCAGACUGGUAUACUCUUCCACGGAAACAAGGAACUCGCCCCGCUGGGAAGCGCUUGGGACCAUGUGCUGGAAUGCGUCAUGCUCAACUCUCGACAUCAUUCUCUCCACCCUCUUUGCUAAUCAUCGUGGUGCCAUGAUUCGUUGGUACCGUCUUCCUGCUUUUCGGUGCCUUUGAGGACUGCCAGCGGCUCGCGUGGCUGCGCCUCUCUUUUUGGUCUCUCUCUCUGCCUGCGCCUCUCGCAUCUUUUUGUUUAGUGUUCUCCGUUUGGCUUUUCAGUGACGCAACGCUAGUGCUUGUGGGUGCGUCUGUGUUUCGGAGGAGAAUGUGCAUCUGUUCUCGUCGUAUCACUUUCGCAUGUUUCGUCGUGCUGUUGUUUUUCCUACUUCUUCCCCCAUCUUGCGUGCACGCGUAUGCGUGUCUUGUUUUGCUUCUCUGCUCUUUUCAUGCACGCACCCUGCGGACACGAACACCAACGCCCCCUUUUCGCAAUCGCUUUUCUCUUUCGAUUUUUUUUUCGUGAUGCUUCCAUAGGAGACACCGUUUCUUGACCCCUAUAUUGUGUCUUUCUCACUUUCCCUGUUCCUUGCCUCCGCUGUCUCUGUCUGCCUUCUCUCUUCCUCGGCCUUCACACCCGCUGAUGUUUCCCUUCUGUUUGUUUCUUGCUGGUUGCCGCAUCGUUGUUGUUCAUUCCGAACUCUCGCGUUUUCUACUUUGUUCGCUCCGUUCCUCGCUAGGUGACUGUGUCUUCACAAGUGUUUUCUUGUUGUCCGAUCUCGCAGCAACCAAGGUGAGACCGCCUUUGUCCCUCCCUGAUCUUGCAUACACACAUACAUACAAGAAAGUGUACAACAACUGACGAAAUAAGAAAGACGCUCACAUUCUUCUUGUCGCUGCCGCUGUGCCUCUGUUCUCUGUUUGUGUCUUGUCCAUUGACGUGUUGUGUGUGCGAGCCUGUGUGAACGACCUCCUUAUCGCUCUGUGUGUAUUCGCGUCGUCGUCUAUAUAGAAAAUAAGAACAUCGCCCCCGUGUGUGUCUCCCUCUCCCUCUCUUCCUCUCUCGUCUCUUUUUUGAUGUUGUAUGUAUUGCAUCUGUGCGUGUGUAGGCGUGUGUGUGUUUCGCAUGGUCAGCUGCCCCUGACCGAGAUGGAACAACAACGACGACAAAACAAAACAACGGACUAAAGGAAGAAGGCGCAAAGGGUGGGGAGGCAUGUGCUCCCCCCUCACACACACACAGACAGACAGACAGACACGCCCAAGGCCGACGCCGUGAACGGGGCGGACGUGGUUCACAUGAUCGUCAGCUAACCUUUCAGUAUUUCUCUCUCGCACUUUCUCUCUCUCUUGCACUUUCCUCUUCUAUUCUGCUCCCUUCUUUCUGUUGACUCCGACCUCAAUAUCACGACGACUUCGCCAUUUUGUUUUUCUCUUUGUGCUUCUUAG